UACGUAGGGGGCAAGCGUUGUCCGGAUUUAUUGGGCGUAAAGCGCACGCAGGCGGUCGUUUGCGUCUUGACCGACAGUUUCCCGCUUAACGGGGAGGGGUGUCGAGAAACGGAGCGACUUGAGGAUCAGCGAGGCCAGCGGAAUUCCGGGUGGAGCGGUGAAAUGCGUAGAGAUCCGGAGGAACAUCACUGGCGCAAGCAGCUGGCUAGCUGGUGCCUGACGCUCAGGUGCGAAAGCGUGGGGAGCAAACCGG
rnacentral:rRNA from 1 species